rnacentral:pre_miRNA from 1 species
UAAUGUGACCCCCUCUUGAGCCUUAAGAUUCACCAAAAGUGGUAUUUUUCAUACUAUCAAGCAGCUUUAUAGGGAGGAGAAUUUUGCAAAAUGCCACCAUUUGGUGGCUUUUAGGGCUCAAGUGGGUUCCACUCCCAAGUC